rnacentral:rRNA from 1 species
UACAGAGGUCUCAAGCGUUGUUCGGAUUCAUUGGGCGUAAAGGGUGUGUAGGUGGCGCUGUAAGUCGGGUGUGAAAUUUCGGAGCUUAACUCCGAAACUGCAUUCGAUACUGGCGUGCUUGAGGACUGGAGAGGAGACUGGAAUUCAUGGUGUAGCAGUGAAAUGCGUAGAGAUCAUGAGGAAGACCAGUGGCGAAGGCGGGUCUCUGGACAGUUCCUGACACUGAGACACGAAGGCCAGGGGAGCAAACGGG